CGACAAGAAGAUCGUUAAUGACCACAUCACAACCUUCACCUCCACCAUCUGCCUGAUGUUUGGCAGUUAUUACUGCUUUAACAUUCACUACCCAGUGGAACUACGAUCAACACUGGAGUUUCUCCAACGGUGUUUCUUUUCCAUAAAUCCUGAGAGAGGCACCAAGGUUGAAUCCAAGAAGAAAAAAGUGUUGUCAGUCAAUCCCAGAGUCCUCACUCUCAUCUCAGACAUUGCUGACCAUGAGUGGAUCUAGUACUAAAUAGUGAAAAAUUUGUAAUGUCCGCAACACUUUUUAAACUCCCAUCUUUAUUAAUUAAUUAAAAAGCAACGUUUCGACCCAGUUGGGUCUUCUUCAGGUGAAUCAUUUAAACAAAUUUUUUACUUUAACAGUUUUUGUCCUGCACCUGCCAGAAGGUGGGAUGUGCACACAAUUACUGAUUUAACAGGUUUUGGAUCUAGUACUACCCCUCUUGUUGUGGACAGUGUGAUAAAGGUGUGUUACAGACUCUACAGAUGUUUUUGUUGUUGAAACAAUUGUUACACUUCUGUAUGUCAUGUGAAAAGUUUUUACCGAUUUGGACUUUUACUAAACAAGACUUGUUAAAGUAGCUGUUAAUUGUUUUUGCUUGUUAGUUCCAGGAGUUUCUUGGAUUAUAAAUUUCUUACAUUAAUUGUGCAUUCUAAUGAUGUAUAAAGGUGGCUGCAUGUACAUCACUAGCAUUUUGUAAAUCAGAAACUUCUGUAAAGUUCUCUAUAAAGUGUAAAGGGGUUUGUUUUCCUUUUUUUUUCAAUUACAUGAUGCAGUUUGAAGAUGUACAGUUUCAGCUUUACUGCACAGUUCUGUGCUUAAAAUAAGUCUGUUACGUUUCAUUACGUAAUUGUGUAUGUUUUGGGAUGUCUUUGUAGUGUUUUCUUCUCCCUUGUUUUCUCUCUCUCUUUUUUUCUCUCUGCUAAGCAGCGCUUCAAACCAUCCGCAGCUGAUAGCAAUUUGCGGCAGCGGCUGACCUGCUAUACGGCGUGUCGCAGAUAUAAAACAGCAGAGACACAGCUCACAGAAACCUCCGUGAAGUUCGCACCCCAUAAAAAGAAAUAAUCACCAAAACUGUGCCAUUCGUUUGUGCUGAUUUGUGCCGCAAAAACGAACGUUUGUGUUGAUUUGGUGUUUGAGAUAUUAAACAUUAUUUUUUGACUGUGUGUCGUGACACGGUCACGCUUGUGCUUGUGUGGUGCUGCUUUUACUGUUUGCGUGUUUUUCCCCACUUUAACUGUGGAGUUUAGCAUUUUAGAUCUGUGCUUGAAAUUGUCAGGUAAUUUAUUUCGUAAUGUUUUCUUUCUUAGAUAAUCUCCAAUGCACUGUGAUCUUACAUCUUACCUGCAAUAUACUGUAACUUCUCUGUACUAAUAUUGUAAGAGGACUGAUGGAUUUUGUCCAAUAAAAAUGCGGAAAAAUA